AGAAACGCAGAAGAGGACAGUCAGAUCGGUGAGCUGAAUAUGACAACCAGCUGGACCUGACCCACGCGGACCUGAAGAAGCGUAUAAGUGACGGACCUGAAGAAGAUCUGGAGGAGUGGGGCGAGUCCCUGCAAAGGCUGCGCCGAAAAGUCCGACUUCAUCCGCAAAAUCACAGAGCUAAGGCCCAAGUUUGCUCCCGCAGCCGCCAGUGCACGGACAGAUCUGUAACGGGGAACAAACGCACAACGCAACACACGCACAACACACACACACAACUUUGGACUUG